AACAGACAUACACUCAGUCUCAUAAGAGGUUAUAACAGACAUACACUCAGUCUCAUAAGAGGUUUUAACAGACAUACACUCAGUCUCAUAAGAGGUUUUAACAGACAUACACUCAGUCUCAUAAGA